GACGAACGCUGGCGGCGUGCCUAAUACAUGCAAGUCGAGCGAACAGACGAGGAGCUUGCCUCUUUUCCGUUAGCGGCGGACGGGUGAGUAACACGUGGAUAACCUACCUACAAGACUGGGAUAACUUCGGGAAACCGGAGCUAAUACCGGAUAACAUGUUGAACCGCAUGGUUCAACAUUGAAAGACGGCUUUUCUGUCACUUCUAGCUGGAUCCGCGCCGCAUUAGCUAGUUGGUAAGGUAACGGCUUCCCAAGGGGACGAGGGGUAGACGCCCUGAGAGGGGGGGGGGGCACACUGGGAGUGGGAAACGGCCCAGAGCACUAAGGGGGGGAGCCGGAGGGAAUAGUUCGGAAUGGGGGGAAGACUGAGGGGGGGACGCCGCGGGGGGGAAGAAGGGGGUCGGGUCGGGAAAAUCUGUUGUGUGGGGGGAAAGAGAGUGGUUAGAAGAGGGAGGCGGGGUGACGGUACCUCAAGAGAAAGCCCCGGCUAAAUACGUG
rnacentral:rRNA from 1 species